rnacentral:rRNA from 1 species
AAUUUUUGACAAUGGGCGCAAGCCUGAUCCAGCAAUGCCGCGUGCAGGAUGAAGGCCUUCGGGUUGUAAACUGCUUUUGUACGGAACGAAAAGUCUUGGGCUAAUACCCUGGGAUCAUGACGGUACCGGAAGAAUAAGCACCCGCCAACUACGUUCCAGCAGCCGCGGUAAUAAGUAGGGUGCAAGCGUUAAUCGGAAUUAAUGGGCGUAAAGCGUGCGCAGGCGGUUUUGUAAGACAGUGGUGAAAUCCCCGGGCUCAACCUGGGAACUGCCAUAGUGACUGCAAGGCUAGAGUACGGCAGAAGGGGAUGGAAUUACGCGUGUAGCAGUGAAAUGCGUAGAUAUGCGGAGGAACACCGAUGGCGAAGGCAAUCCCCUGGGCCUGCACUGACGCUCAUGCACGAAAGCGUGGGGAGCAAACAGG